rnacentral:rRNA from 1 species
GGGUUGUGAGGUUAAGCGACUAAGCGUACACGGUGGAUGCCCUGGCAGUCAGAGGCGAUGAAGGACGUGCUAAUCUGCGAUAAGCGUCGGUAAGGUGAUAUGAACCGUUAUAACCGGCGAUUUCCGAAUGGGGAAACCCAGUGUGUUUCGACACACUAUCAUUAACUGAAUCCAUAGGUUAAUGAGGCGAACCGGGGGAACUGAAACAUCUAAGUACCCCGAGGAAAAGAAAUCAACCGAGAUUCCCCCAGUAGCGGCGAGCGAACGGGGAGCAGCCCAGAGCCUGAAUCAGUGUGUGUGUUAGUGGAAGCGUCUGGAAAGGCGCGCGAUACAGGGUGACAGCCCCGUACACAAAAAUACACAUACUGUGAGCUCGAUGAGUAGGGCGGGACACGUGGUAUCCUGUCUGAAUAUGGGGGGACCAUCCUCCAAGGCUAAAUACUCCUGACUGACCGAUAGUGAACCAGUACCGUGAGGGAAAGGCGAAAAGAACCCCGGCGAGGGGAGUGAAAAAGAACCUGAAACCGUGUACGUACAAGCAGUGGGAGCACAGAGCAAUCUGUGUGACUGCGUACCUUUUGUAUAAUGGGUCAGCGACUUAUAUUCUGUAGCAAGGUUAACCGAAUAGGGGAGCCGAAGGGAAACCGAGUCUUAACUGGGCGUUAAGUUGCAGGGUAUAGACCCGAAACCCGGUGAUCUAGCCAUGGGCAGGUUGAAGGUUGGGUAACACUAACUGGAGGACCGAACCGACUAAUGUUGAAAAAUUAGCGGAUGACUUGUGGCUGGGGGUGAAAGGCCAAUCAAACCGGGAGAUAGCUGGUUCUCCCCGAAAGCUAUUUAGGUAGCGCCUCGUGAAUUCAUCUCCGGGGGUAGAGCACUGUUUCGGCAAGGGGGUCAUCCCGACUUACCAACCCGAUGCAAACUACGAAUACCGGAGAAUGUUAUCACGGGAGACACACGGCGGGUGCUAACGUCCGUCGUGAAGAGGGAAACAACCCAGACCGCCAGCUAAGGUCCCAAAGUCAUGGUUAAGUGGGAAACGAUGUGGGAAGGCCCAGACAGCCAGGAUGUUGGCUUAGAAGCAGCCAUCAUUUAAAGAAAGCGUAAUAGCUCACUGGUCGAGUCGGCCUGCGCGGAAGAUGUAACGGGGCUAAACCAUGCACCGAAGCUGCGGCAGCGACGCUUAUGCGUUGUUGGGUAGGGGAGCGUUCUGUAAGCCUGCGAAGGUGUGCUGUGAGG